UCCCUGGUGGCUCAGAGGGUAAAGCAUCUGCCUGCAGUGCGGGAGACCCAGGUUCAAUCCCUGCGUCAGGAA
rfam:Ovis aries breed Texel chromosome 11, whole genome shotgun sequence.